UUGAUUUGAUUCCUAGGUUACCAAGCACUGGGUAGCAACCAAGAGCACCAGAUUCAGAAAAUAUGCUGCUAUGAAUGCAUCAAAUAGUGAGAGAGGGUCAUUGUUAGUGAGGACCACCAACCUCCUGAGGUUUCUUGGGCCUGGGACUUUCAGUGUGACAGUUUUGGGUGAACUGUGAUGACUGGUUACCCUAACUAGGACCCAGAAUGAGGUCCUGAGGAGAGAGGUGGCCCUGAGAACAGCACACAAACAAUGGAGUUUUGCUGUGAGCAAGAAAGAAAAACGGCUUAAAAAGUAUAUGAGGCUUGUUAUCUUCUCAGAACUAGACAUGUCCUUUAAUUGAAGUGAAAAUUCGUAUUUCUCCCUCUCCCACACUUUUAUCUUACAAUAGAUCAAAGACAGUAAAUUCCUGGGAGUUGGCACAUCAUGAAGGCAGAUAUAUGAAAGAAGGAACGGCGGGUCUGUGUGGCAGGAUGUCUAUUCAUCUUUGAGGUCCAGCUCCACUGUCUCUCUUCCCGGGAUAUAUCCAGUGUUGUGGCAGCUUCCUCCUCUUGCUCCCUAGCAUUUUGUCCAGGUUUCAUCACAACACCUAGAACAAUAAAUUCUAUCACUGCCUGUCUCCUGCCUCAUGAUAGGAACUUCUUAAGGGAGUGAGUAGAUGUAUGAAAAUGGAACAUCUCUACCUGCAAACAGGAACAGGAACCAGGAAGGAACAGUCUGCUGUGUUCUACCAUCAAAUCCAAAUUAAAUGAGAGAAUACAAAGCUGAUCCUUAAUCUGUCAUUAGAAGCCACG